rnacentral:lncRNA from 1 species
ACUGAAGCCUCCUCUCACAUAUGGGUAUUGAAUACUGUGUAGGAGGUUUUAUGUCUCUCCACAUCCUCAAAGGUGCCGAAGGACUCAUUCAACAUUUGAAUGGGCUCCUCAGACUGUGCAUCUUCAAACUUAUAGCUAAGCUCGUCGUUCAUAGCUGCCCUCAUCAUGCAAUGCAUAGUCAUGCAAUCAUUGAGCCACUUCAUAUAAGUGUCUCUCGC